AAGCCCGGGGCACCACCUUGGGUGCUUCUUCAAACUUGCAUUUUGCUGUGUAACACCCCCGAGCUU
rnacentral:tRNA from 1 species